rnacentral:rRNA from 1 species
GACGGAGGAUGCAAGUGUUAUCCGGAAUCACUGGGCGUAAAGCGUCUGUAGGUGGUCCAAUAAGUCAACUGUUAAAUCUUGGGGCUCAACCUCAAAAUCGCAGUCGAAACUAUUAGACUAGAGUAUAGUAGGGGUAAAGGGAAUUACCAGUGGAGCGGUGAAAUGCGUAGAUAUUGGAAAGAACACCGAUGGCGAAGGCACUUUACUGGGCUAUUACUAACACUCAGAGACGAAAGCUAGGGUAGCAAAUGGG